UACGUGGGGUGCAAGCGUUAAUCGGAAUUACUGGGCGUAAAGCGUGCGCAGGCGGUUAUGCAAGACAGAUGUGAAAUCCCCGGGCUUAACCUGGGAACCGCAUUUGUGACUGCAUAGCUGGAGUACGGCAGAGGGGGAUGGAAUUCCGCGUGUAGCAGUGAAAUGCGUAGAUAUGCGGAGGAACACCGAUGGCGAAGGCAGUCCCCUGGGCCUGUACUGACGCUCAUGCACGAAAGCGUGGGGAGCAAACAGG
rnacentral:rRNA from 1 species